rnacentral:tRNA from 1 species
GGGCCAUUAGCUCAACUAGGCAGAGCAUCCGACUCUUAAUCGGCAGGUUGAAGGUUCGAUUCCUUCAUGGCCCA